GACGAACGCUGGCGGCGUGCUUAACACAUGCAGGUCGAACGGAAAGGCCCUGCUUUUGUCGGGUGCUCGAGUGGCGAACGGGUGAGUAACACGUGAGUAACCUGCCCUUGACUUUGGGAUAACUUCAGGAAACUGGGGCUAAUACCGGAUAGGAGCUCCUGCUGCAUGGUGGGGGUUGGAAAGUUUCGGCGGUUGGGGAUGGACUCGCGGCUUAUCAGCCUGUUGGUGGGGUAGUGGCUUACCAAGGCUUUGACGGGUAGCCGGCCUGAGAGGGUGACCGGCCACAUUGGGACUGAGAUACGGCCCAGACUCCUACGGGAGGCAGCAGUGGGGAAUAUUGCACAAUGGGCGGAAGCCUGAUGCAGCAACGCCGCGUGCGGGAUGACGGCCUUCGGGUUGUAAACCGCUUUCGCCUGUGACGAAGCGUGAGUGACGGUAAUGGGUAAAGAAGCACCGGCUAACUACGUG
rnacentral:rRNA from 1 species